rnacentral:tRNA from 1 species
GGGCGGCUGGCUCAGUUGGUUAGAGCGCCUGCCUUACACGCAGGAUGCCACAGGUUCGAAUCCUGUGCCGCCCACCA